CUUUUAUUAUUUUUUAGUAUGUUGUCUGUGCAUCUAUGAGGAGAGUGCUCUUUCCUUUUGCAAAUCCUAACUUACAGCAGAAGACAGUGCCAGAAAGCUCUCCUAUGUGCUGACAAUUGAAUCAUUUGGAGACCAUUUUGAGAGCUGUGGUGAUGUUCUCUAAUCUUUUCCAGAAGGGCUGAGGAGAAGGCAGAAAGCAGCACAGACUGCAGAGAUGGAUGGGACUCUGGGGAGGCACCACCCCACCAGUCCCCAACCAUGUGUUCUGUGAUGGGAGGUGGAGUUCAGCUGGAAUGCACUGGGAAACUCCAAGUUGUAGGCAAUUACAUCUGGUUAGCAAAUAAAAUGCUGUUCUGCAGGUCUUUUAAGCCAAUUGUUUUUCUGAUGGAUAAGUCCUUUUUUUUUUUUUUUUUUUUUAAGUGUCCUAACUACUGUGCUCCUGCUUUAACCUCUACACAGUCAGAGAAGGCAAUUCAGGCUGACCAGACUGGCACUCUCCAGUUUCAAGCAAAUUAUUGGAAGUAUGAAAUCAGCUUCAAAAGUGAAGCAUCUGUCUGCUUGAUCUCUAAUGCAGACAGGUUUUGAUGUGUGCGUUCAGAGUCAUCGCGAUUGACACUGAAAGUGGAGAUGGCACACAACAAAAGGAGAAUACAAAUUAAGCGCGUCUCAAAAAGGUGAGCCGAAUUUCCCUGCGUUUCCGCCGGUGCCGGGCGGAGAAGGAGUCCCCGCAGCGCUGUCGGGACACUUCCCGGAGCCGCCAGCCCCAGCC
rnacentral:lncRNA from 1 species